UACGUAGGGGGCUAGCGUUGUCCGGAAUCAUUGGGCGUAAAGCGCGUGUAGGCGGUUCGGUAAGUCCGCUGUGAAAGUCGGGGGCUCAACCCUCGAAAGCCGGUGGAUACUGACGGCCUCGAGGGAGGUAGGGGCGUGCGGAACUGUAGGUGGAGCGGUGAAAUGCGUUGAUAUCUACAGGAACUCCGGUGGCGAAAGCGGCGCGCUGGACCUCUUCUGACGCUGAGGCGCGAAAGCUAGGGGGAGCAAACGGG
rnacentral:rRNA from 1 species